CCUACGGGAGGCAGCAGUGGGGGAUAUUGCACAAUGGGGGAAACCCUGAUGCAGCGACGCCGCGUGAGUGAAGAAGUAUUUCGGUAUGUAAAGCUCUAUCAGCAGGGAAGAAAAGGACAGUACCUGACCAAGAAGCCCCGGCGAACGACGUGCCAGCAGCCGCGGUAAUACGGAGGGGGCAAGCGAUAUCCCGAUUUACUGGGUGUAAAGGGAGCGUAGACGGGGAGGGAAGUCUGGAGUGAACGCCCGGGGCCCAACCCCUGGACGGCUGUGGAAACUGUGGAACUGGAGUACAGGAGGGGCAGGCGGCCUUCCUGGUGUAGCGGUGAAAUGCGUCGAUAUCAGGAGGAGCACCGGCGGCGCAGGCGGCCUGCUGGACUGAAACUGCCGUUGCGGCUCGACCGCGUGGGGAGCACACAGGAUUAGAUACCCCUGUAGUC
rnacentral:rRNA from 1 species